AAUAAGUGCAGUUUUGCACUAUUCACGUUCAACGUUUGAUCGUUCGUCUUAUUUGAAAACUUUUUAUAAUUAGUAUUUUUAUUGCUAUUAGAUGAUAAAAUAUGAAUAAUAUUUUAUGUGUGACUAAAUAUUUUCAAAAUUUUCAAAUAAGACAUACGGUCAAACGUUGGACACGGAUAUCCACGGCUGCACUUAUU
rfam:Oryza sativa Japonica Group DNA, chromosome 8, cultivar: Nipponbare, complete sequence.